rnacentral:lncRNA from 1 species
UGGUUAGUGUAUUGAAUUUAGAUAGGUUUACGGAUUUUAUGUUAAUUAGUGUUGAUUAGGUGGUUAGUGUAAGAAUUUAGAUAGGUUUAUAAAAUUUGUUAAUUACUGUUGAUGUUAAUUUUAAAAUUUAAAUUUUUUUUUUUCCAGACGGUUCGAAAGAACAGACUUACUCCCCAUUACAGAGAGAUGUUCAGUGAGCCUGGUAGUCGUUUAGACCCGUCUUCUUCAGCUCCCGGUUCUUCGGGUCCGGAGACUGUCCCUGAGACUCAGUCUUCUCAGAGAGUCUCUCGGUCGCCUUCUUCUAGUGCACCUCAUGUGCCUCCUCCGAUGGCUCCUCCGACGAUGCCUCCUCCUGUGCCGCCUCCUCCGAUGGCUCCUCCGAUGCCCGCC